rnacentral:rRNA from 1 species
CCUACGUGAGGCUGCAGUGGGGAAUAUUGCACAAUGGGGGAAACCCUGAUGCAGCGACGCCGCGUGAGUGAAGAAGUAUUUCGGUAUGUAAAGCUCUAUCAGCAGGGAAGAAAUAGCGACCUUUGGGUCGCCAGCCGGUACCUGACUAAGAUGCCCCGGCUAACUACGUGCCAGCAGCCGCGGUAAUACGUAGGGGGCAAGCGUUAUCCGGAUUUACUGGGUGUAAAGGGAGCGUAGACGGCAGCACAAGUCUGAAGUGAAAUGCCGGGGCUUAACCCCGUAACUGAUUGGGAAAAUGUGCAGCUAGAGUGCAGGAGAGGUAAGUGGAAUUCCUAGUGUAGCGGUGAAAUGCGUAGAUAUUAGGAGGAACACCAGUGGCGAAGGCGGCUUACUGGACUGUAACUGACGUUGAGGCUCGAAAGCGUGGGGAGCAAACAGGAUUAGAUACCCCAGUAGUC